rnacentral:lncRNA from 1 species
UGAUAUAUCUUCGAAGCAUUGACACGUGGAAUACAUCAUGGAUGCUAGCCAAAGCCGGGGGCAAUGCCAAUCUGUACAGGCCCAACCUUUUGUAAGAUCUCAAAUGGGCCAAUAAAUCUUGGGGCUAACUUUCCCCUUUGACCAAACCUCAUAACUCCCUUGGUCGGCGACACCUUUAAGAAGACGUGCUCACCAAUUUCGAACUCUAGAUCUCUUCGCCUUCGAUCUGCAUAACUUUUCUGAUGACUUUGAGCUGCUAAUAAUCUUUGGCAUAUAAUUCGAAUAUUAUCAGCAUCUUUUUGAAUUAAUUGAGGCCCCAAAAGCUUCCGUUCUCCCACCUCAUCCCAAUAUACAGG